CCUGUCAGUUCUGAUAUGCUUGUUUCAAAGAUUAAGCCAUGCAUGUCUAAGUAUAAACAAAUCUAUACGUGAAACUGCGAAUGGCUCAUUAUAUCAGUUAUAGUUUAUUUGAUAGUCCCUUACUACUUGGAUAACCGUAGUAAUUCUAGAGCUAAUACAUGCGUCAAUACCCUUCUGGGGUAGUAUUUAUUAGAUUGAAACCAACCCCUUCGGGGUGAUGUGGUGAUUCAUAAUAAGCUUGCGGAUCGCAUGGCUUUGCCGGCGAUGGAUCAUUCAAGUUUCUGCCCUAUCAGCUUUGGAUGG
rnacentral:rRNA from 1 species